UACGUAGGGGGCUAGCGUUGUCCGGAUUUAUUGGGCGUAAAGAGCGUGUAGGCGGUUCGGUGAGUCUGUCGUGAAAUCCUGAGGCUCAACCUCGGGCGUGCGAUGGAUACUGCCGGGCUAGAGGGUGGUAGAGGCGAGUGGAAUUCCCGGUGUAGCGGUGAAAUGCGCAGAUAUCGGGAGGAACACCAGUAGCGAAGGCGGCUCGUUGGGCCACACCUGACGCUGAGACGCGAAAGCUAGGGGAGCGAACAGG
rnacentral:rRNA from 1 species